UCUGUCAGGAUGGUGGGGCUGAAUGCUUGCUCUGUGCUUGGCCAGCUGUGAGGAGGGGUGGGCAGUAGGGCCCCCAUGGCUUGGGUCCUGGAUGUGGGCCACCCUCAAGAGGGCUCCAGAACUAUGGCAUUCUGUAAGACAGCAAAAGAGGAAGAGUGGCCCAGUCUUCUUGUGGACUUCUCCUUAGCUCUCCUUUCCCUGUAAGGUCCAAUCCAGGCAAAGGCCCUGGACACAAAAUGGGAUCUUAUAAUAAUAAAUGUCUAUCUUUUGUUUUUUAAGUCUCUAGGAAACAGGAUGCCUAGCUUCUGGGAAAACUGCUCCUUUACUCCAGUGUGUUGAUGGAAAGGACCUGCCUCCUUUUGGUAUAUUAUUUUAUUCAAAGGCUUCACAUUACCAGAUGGCAUUGGAGCAGUUGCAGAGUCACCCUAAGGCACUUAAGCUCUGGGCACUCCCUUUAAAAUCUUCAACUCACCAUCAAGAACAGCACUGUGGACGUUGACUCCUGUCUGUGGAUCCAAAGCAGAGACCAUCUCUAUCCCAGAUCAACCAGAGAUGCCCCCUUUCAGAGGUGGCACCUUCAGGAGGUUACCUUGGAGCUCAAGAAUGGGCAGCCGAUUCCCGUGGUCCAUCUCAGUGGGGAGAAUGGUGAUAAAGUGAAAAAGGAGUAAAAGUGAUUGGAAAGACUUGGCACUCUUCAAGUCUGGCCUUGUCAUGACUCCACUCAUGGGGGUGACAGCCCAUCUGUGUGGCAGACAUGCCUUCCAGCCAGUUCUCUAGCCACCAGUGGGAGGACUGUGCUGCCAUAGGGUAAUUUUGGUAUAAUUAUAACUUGACCACAAUGAAUGCUAUUGUGGUUUUUUAACUGAAUCAGAAAAACUUUUAUUAUGAGUUUAGAAGGUAAUUUAUUUAAAAAUACUCCACAAAGCAGCAAAGCACAAAAGGAAUUCUGUUGGUUCUCAUCUUUCUUUUUUUCCUGUCCUUGCUCUCUCCCCAUAAUUUUCAAAUCUAUUAAUGAGAGACUGAGGGGUAAGCGGUAUUUACAUUGUUAACAUUAGAAUGCAGAGAAAGACCAGUCACCUUUAUUUUGGUCUGUUUACCCUGAAUAUAUGUUAAGUAGUUUGUGAGCAUUUUCAAUCAUUCUGGAAUAUUUUGUUGCUUUGUUGUUAUCUACGCCCCACCUCCCCCUCGCCCCGCGUCAUUUCUAGG